rnacentral:rRNA from 1 species
UUAGGAAUCUUCCACAAUGGGCGAAAGCCUGAUGGAGCGACGCCGCGUGAGGGAUGAAGGCCUUAGGGUUGUAAACCUCUAAAAGAGGGACGAUAAUGACGGUACCUCUGGAAUAGCACCGGCUAACUCCGUGCCAGCAGCCGCGGUAAUACGGAGGGUGCAAGCGUUAUCCGGAAUCACUGGGCGUAAAGGGCGCGUAGGCGGUCUGUUAAGUCCGAUGUUAAAUCCCGGGGCUCAACCCCGGAUAAGCGUUGGAUACUGGCAGGCUAGACGGUUGGAGAGGCGAGUGGAAUUACCAGUGUAGCGGUGGAAUGCGUAGAUACUGGUAGGAACACCCAUUGCGAAGGCAGCUCGCUGGACAACACGUGACGCUGAGGCGCGAAAGUGUGGGGAGCAAACC